rnacentral:rRNA from 1 species
GAUGAACGCUGGCGGCGUGCCUAAUACAUGCAAGUCGAGCGAACAGACGAGGAGCUUGCUCCUCUGACGUUAGCGGCGGACGGGUGAGUAACACGUGGAUAACCUACCUAUAAGACUGGGAUAACUUCGGGAAACCGGAGCUAAUACCGGAUAAUAUAUUGAACCGCAUGGUUCAAUAGUGAAAGACGGUUUUGCUGUCACUUAUAGAUGGAUCCGCGCCGCAUUAGCUAGUUGGUACGGUAACGGCUUACCAAGGCAACGAUGCGUAGCCGACCUGAGAGGGUGAUAGGCCACACUGGAACUGAGACACGGUCCAGACUCCUACGGGAGGCAGCAGUAGGGAAUCUUCCGCAAUGGGCGAAAGCCUGACGGAGCAACGCCGCGUGAGUGAUGAAGGUCUUCGGAUCGUAAAACUCUGUUAUGAGGGAAGAACAAAUGUGUAAGUAACUAUGCACGUCUUGACGGUACCUAAUCAGAAAGCCACGGCUAACUACGUG